AUUGAACGCUGGCGGCAGGCCUCACACAUGCAAGUCGAACGAGUGGCGGACGGGUGAGUAAUGUCUGGGAAACUGCCUGAUGGAGUGGGAUAACUACUGGAAACGGUAGCUCAUACCGCAUACCAUCAGAUGUUCCCAGAUGGGAUUAGCUAGUUGGUGGGGUAACGGCUCACCAAGGCGACGAUCCCUAGCUGGUCUGCGAGGAUGACCAGACACACGGGAACGGAGAAACGGUCCAGACUCAUACGGGAGGCAGCAGUGGGGAAUAUUGCACAAUGGGAGCAAGCCUGAUGCAGCCAUGCCGCGUGUAUGAAGAAGGCCUUCGGGUUGUAAAGUACUGUCAGCGGGGAGGCGUUACCCGCAGAAGAAGCACCGGCUAACUCCGUGCCAGCAGCCGCGGUAAUAC
rnacentral:rRNA from 1 species